UUCAAGGGGUGUAUAUGUGCUUGAACACCUCCGCCACCUGUAACACUCAGCAUAACAAUCCUAAAAUAAGAUUAUGAAAUUAUUUCUCAAAUUUCAACCAAGCCCGUCAAUUACAGCUAAAAGUAUUAACCUAUCGUUAACCAAGGCCAGUGUAGCAUAUCCCUCUUGUAAAAUGAUCUGAGUUCAUUACUUCAUCCCUUCUCAACAGGUGAGGGCGCAAGAGGACAGAUUUCCCCCAUAUGCGCCUUUUGAAUACGAUCAUAACCAAUGGCACAAUUACAGUGCUAAGAAUGACAAGGGAGAAUGCCAACCACAAUCCUUCUAAUGGGUCGGACUGGACACUAAGCCUUGCUCUGAAGAGACAGCACAUGUCCCAUGUGCUUCUGUCCUUGCUGAUUUUGCAUUCUUGGGUGCUCCAAUACCUGACAUUCCCUCUGCGCCCAUAAUGGAAAACAGAUGCAAGAGGGUGAUGUUCAUGGAUGGAGGUCAG